rnacentral:rRNA from 1 species
AAAUUGAAGAGUUUGAUCAUGGCUCAGAUUGAACGCUGGCGGCAGGCCUAACACAUGCAAGUCGAGCGGAAACGAGUUAUCAGAACCUUCGGGGAACGAUAACGGCGUCGAGCGGCGGACGGGUGAGUAAUGCCUAGGAAAUUGCCCUGAUGUGGGGGAUAACCAUUGGAAACGAUGGCUAAUACCGCAUGAUGCCUACGGGCCAAAGAGGGGGACCUUCGGGCCUCUCGCGUCAGGAUAUGCCUAGGUGGGAUUAGCUAGUUGGUGAGGUAAGGGCUCACCAAGGCGACGAUCCCUAGCUGGUCUGAGAGGAUGAUCAGCCACACUGGAACUGAGACACGGUCCAGACUCCUACGGGAGGCAGCAGUGGGGAAUAUUGCACAAUGGGCGCAAGCCUGAUGCAGCCAUGCCGCGUGUGUGAAGAAGGCCUUCGGGUUGUAAAGCACUUUCAGUCGUGAGGAAGGCGGUGUAGUUAAUAGCUGCAUCGUUUGACGUUAGCGACAGAAGAAGCACCGGCUAACUCCGUGCCAGCAGCCGCGGUAAUACGGAGGGUGCGAGCGUUAAUCGGAAUUACUGGGCGUAAAGCGCAUGCAGGUGGUUUGUUAAGUCAGAUGUGAAAGCCCGGGGCUCAACCUCGGAAUUGCAUUUGAAACUGGCAGACUAGAGUACUGUAGAGGGGGUAGAAUUUCAGGUGUAGCGGUGAAAUGCGUAGAGAUCUGAAGGAAUACCGGUGGCGAAGGCGGCCCCCUGGACAGAUACUGACACUCAGAUGCGAAAGCGUGGGGAGCAAACAGGAUUAGAUACCCUGGUAGUCCACGCCGUAAACGAUGUCUACUUGGAGGUUGUGGCCUUGAGCCGUGGCUUUCGGAGCUAACGCGUUAAGUAGACCGCCUGGGGAGUACGGUCGCAAGAUUAAAACUCAAAUGAAUUGACGGGGGCCCGCACAAGCGGUGGAGCAUGUGGUUUAAUUCGAUGCAACGCGAAGAACCUUACCUACUCUUGACAUCCAGAGAACUUUCCAGAGAUGGAUUGGUGCCUUCGGGAACUCUGAGACAGGUGCUGCAUGGCUGUCGUCAGCUCGUGUUGUGAAAUGUUGGGUUAAGUCCCGCAACGAGCGCAACCCUUAUCCUUGUUUGCCAGCGAGUAAUGUCGGGAACUCCAGGGAGACUGCCGGUGAUAAACCGGAGGAAGGUGGGGACGACGUCAAGUCAUCAUGGCCCUUACGAGUAGGGCUACACACGUGCUACAAUGGCGCAUACAGAGGGCAGCCAACUUGCGAAAGUGAGCGAAUCCCAAAAAGUGCGUCGUAGUCCGGAUUGGAGUCUGCAACUCGACUCCAUGAAGUCGGAAUCGCUAGUAAUCGUGGAUCAGAAUGCCACGGUGAAUACGUUCCCGGGCCUUGUACACACCGCCCGUCACACCAUGGGAGUGGGCUGCAAAAGAAGUAGGUAGUUUAACCUUCGGGGGGACGCUUACCACUUUGUGGUUCAUGACUGGGGUGAAGUCGUAACAAGGUAGCGCUAGGGGAACCUGGCGCUGGAUCACCUCCUUA